rnacentral:lncRNA from 8 species
AUGUUUAACCCCUAUUGUAGAGAGACAAAGGGUUGUUUUAAUCCCACUGUGAGAGUAGGAGGGAGGGAGGUAGGGAGGGAGGAGGGUCAGGGAGGGAGGGGGACAGGUUUGAGGAGGAGGAGGCGAGGCGGAGGUGGGUGUGUCUGUGAAACAUGCCCCCUCGCUCUCACUGUUACUCUAGCAGUGUUAGUUCCACCAGACAAACACAACGCGGUAUACACAGCCACUGGGAACUUUGCGCUUUCAAACACACAGGACACACACACUGGACACACACACACACACCGGACACACACACACACACUCUGGGAAGAUUUGUUCUUGCAGACCGCAGCAGAGAGACAGGGUGAAGAAGAACAGUGAUUAAGAGGAGGAUAGAUUCUUGAAGAGGAGAGUGGAGUGGACUGGGUCUUGUCUGGUACGUUAUACAGUAACAUACAGUACUGUAGCUCCAUACUGUCAACAUACAUUACUGUAGCUCCACACUGUCAACAUAUGGUAUUGUAGCUCCACACUGUCAACAUACAUUACUGUAGCUCCACACUGUCAACAUACGGUAUUGUAGCUCCACACUGUCAACAUACAUUACUGUAGCUCCACACUGUCAACAUACAGUACUGUAGCUCCAUACUGUCAACAUACAGUACUGUAGCUCAACACUGUCAACAUACGGUAUUGUAGCUCCACACUGUCAACAUACGGUAUUGUAGCUCCACACUGUCAACAUACAUUACUGUAGCUCCAUACUGUCAACAUACAUUACUGUAGCUCCAUACUGUCAACAUACAGUACUGUAGCUCCACACUGUCAACAUACAGUACUGUAGCUCCACACUGUCAACAUAUGGUAUUGUAGCUCCACACUGCCAACAUACGGUACUGUAGCUCCACACUGUCAACAUACAGUACUGUAGCUCCAUACUGUCAACAUACAGUACUGUAGCUCCACACUGUCAACAUACAUUACUGUAGCUCCACACUGUCAACAUACAAUACUGUAGCUCCACACUGUCAACAUAUAUUAGUGUAGCUCCACACUGUCAACAUACAGUACUGUAGCUCCAUACUGUCAACAUACAGUACUGUAGCUCCACACUGUCAACAUACAUUACUGUAGCUCCACACUGUCAACAUACAAUACUGUAGCUCCACACUGUCAACAUAUAUUAGUGUAGCUCCACACUGUUAACAUACAGUAUUGCAGCUCUACCCUGUCAUUAUAUGGUAUUGUAGCUCCAAACUGUCAACAUACAGUACUGUAGCUCUAUAUUGUUAACGUACAGUACUGUAGCUCUGUCCUGUCAACAUGCAGUACUGUAGCUCUAUAUUGUCAACAUACAGUACUGUAGCUCUAUAUUGUCAACAUACAGUACUGUAGCUCUAUAUUGUCAACAUGCAGUACUGUAGCUCUAUAUUGUCAACAUGCAGUACUGUAGCUCCAUACUGUCAACAUGCAGUGCUGUAGCUCCAUACUGUCAACAUACAGUACUGUAGCUCUAUAUUGUCAACAUACAGUACUGUAGUUCCAUACUGUCAACAUGCAGUGCUGUAGCUCCAUACUGUCAACACUGUAGUUCCAUACUAGUACUGUACGUCCCUGCUUCUUUGUGCUGGAUAUUUUUUCAGUCCACAUUUCAUACCCAACAUCCUCUCUUUCCAAAACAGUUUAGUUUCCCUCAAAUACUUGGAAUGUUAUUGGCUUGCUCUCAAACUCAAACAUGAAUUUCUUUGCUCACUUCUAAUGUGAAUGGAAACCACUGUCUGUCUGUCAGGCUUGUCUGGGAGGUUUCUGCUCUCUCACAUGAGUUCUCCAUCUAUGAUAUUGCCAACAUGCUAAAUGGAAUGCAUUCAUAUUUUAUCAUAAAGUGGCACUGGACAAUAAACUGGUCUAGUCUAGAUGUUCUUGGGACGUUGUGUCCUGGUACCCUGAAUAUCCCCUGAACAUUCUUGAGACGUUGUGUCAUGGUCCCCAGAAUAUCCCCUGAAUGUUCUUGGGACGUUGUGUCAUGGUCACCUGAAUAUCCCCUGAACGUUCUUGGGACGUUGUGACAUGGUCCCCAUGAAGGUUUUGAAACACUAUGAAUCACUAUGAUAAAUAUAAUUGUGUGUAUUUUUUACAGAGCUGAGUGUAGACUUGGCAACAAUAACAAGGGGUGCUGUGUAAUUUCUUUGAGACUAUCAAGUGGCUUCCCUGGGACAAACCGGGAACUAGACAAAAACCUCCAUGAGUUCAUUAGAUGCUGUAUAGCUGAGAGGGAGUGGGAGAGAGAGAGAGAAGGACGGGGGGAGAGAGAGAGAGAGGUGAUGGAGAGAGAGAGGGGGGNNNNNNNNNNNNNNNNNNNNUGUAGCUCUAUAUUGUCAACAUGCAGUACUGUAGCUCUAUAUUGUCAAUAUGCAGUACUGUAGCUCUAUAUUGUUAACAUACAGUACUGUAGCUCUGUCCUGUCAACAUGCAGUACUGUAGCUCUGUCCUGUCAACAUGCAGUACUGUAGCUCUGUCCUGUCAACAUGCAGUACUGUAGCUCUGUCCUGUCAACAUGCAGUACUGUAGCUCUGUCCUGUCAACAUGCAGUACUGUAGCUCUGUCCUGUCAACAUGCAGUACUGUAGCUCCAUACUCUCAACAUACAGUACUGUAGUUGCAUACUGUCAACAUACAGUACUGUAGCUCUGUCCUGUCAACAUGCAGUACUGUAGCUCUUUCCUGUCAACAUGCAGUACUGUAGCUCUGUCCUGUCAACAUGCAGUACUGUAGCUCUGUCCUGUCAACAUGCAGUACUGUAGCUCUGUCC